rnacentral:lncRNA from 1 species
AAAUAAUCGUUUCAAUAGUUUGUUGGGGUGAACGGAGAAUCUGAUGGGGUGCAGGAAGUAAAAGUCAUAAUUUAGUAAUGAAAGAAAAAAAUGGAAUAAAGUUGACAACAGAACAUUAACAUAGGAUUAGGAUGUACCGCUACCACCAAAGCAUCCGACACCCAACAACCAACAACCAACGUCACCACGUGCUACCUCCAC